UGCCUACGGGGGGCAGCAGUGGGGAAUAUUGCACAAUGGGCGAAAGCCUGAUGCAGCAACGCCGCGUGCGGGAUGACGGCCUUCGGGUUGUAAACCGCUUUCAGCAGGGACGAAGGGUUUCUGACGGUACCUGCAGAAGAAGCACCGGCUAACUACGUGCCAGCAGCCGCGGUGAUACGUAGGGUGCGAGCGUUGUCCGGAAUUAUUGGGCGUAAAGAGCUUGUAGGCGGUUCGUUGCGUCGGAAGUGAAAACUCAGGGCUUAACCCUGAGCCUGCUUUCGAUACGGGCGGACUUGAGGGAUGUAGGGGAGAACGGAAUUCCUGGUGGAGCGGUGGAAUGCGCAGAUAUCAGGAGGAACACCAGUGGCGAAGGCGGUUCUCUGGACAUUUCCUGACGCUGAGAAGCGAAAGCGUGGGGAGCAAACAGGAUUAGAUACCCGAGUAGUCGC
rnacentral:rRNA from 1 species